CUUUGUCUUUUAGAGUCUUUUUCUUCCUUUUAAAGAAUAAGAAAAUGUUUGCUGAUAAAUACAUACGUAAGUGCUUUUCCUCAAAAAUUGUUUGCUGUUCUCACAGUUAAUAAUUAUGUAAUUUUUGGCCACCAUGGAGAUUUCAUUAUUUUACUCCAUUGAAUACUCCUCGAAACUAAAUUCUCAUGGAAAUAGAGCGCC
rnacentral:lncRNA from 1 species